GUCUUUAACUCGAGCAGUGGGGGAACACGGACGAGUUGAUCAGACUCAGUUAAUGGUUCAUUCUCAUCGGGUCUGCGAAGCCAAAAACCAGGAUGGGCUGAGAGGCAAAAUCCUUGCGGGCAUUAAAAAUGAAUUAAGAGACGCGUCGCCUCGUUAGCCCAUGCUGAGGGUGGCGGUCUAACACAUCCUGUUGUGGAGCGGCUGGUCUCCAUUGCCUGGUGGAAUAGUCACACGUUUAUACCUUCCGCAGCAGGCUAUGCCAUAGUUCUGAAUGGAGUGGCUGGUGGUAAGGUGUCUCUCCACCUGCACGGAAGCAGUGCUGAGUAGAGCUGGUCAGGACUUUUUCAAUUCAGAGCAUGGAUAUGAAUCUGAAUCUCUUACAUCCCAGGUGAGUGCCCUAAUCACUGGGCUAUUAACUAUUGUGGGGUGGGGUGCGGCUCUCUUCUGUUUUUUUGUGAAACAUUUUGAAAGAUUCCCAAUGUGGCAAGGGAAAGUUUUUCAAUAGAGUACAGCCUCUGUUUUACAAACUAAUUGGGGACUGAGGA
rnacentral:lncRNA from 1 species